UGCGCAGGCGGGCUAUUAAGUCAGUGGUGAAAUCUCUCGGCUCAACCGAGAAACUGCUAUUGAAACUGAUAGUCUUGAGUAUGGUUGUGGUAGGCGGAAUAUAGCAUGUAGCGGUGAAAUGCUUAGAUAUGCUAUAGAACACCGAUCGCGAAGGCAGCUUACCAAGCCAUUACUGACGCUCAUGCACGAAAGCGUGGGGAGCAAACAGGAUUAGAUACCCUGGUAGUCC
rnacentral:rRNA from 1 species